rnacentral:misc_RNA from 1 species
GACGAACCGUCCAAACGUUAUUCGGAAUCACUGGGCUUAAAGGGUGCGUAGGCGGUGCAGUAAGUCAGGUGUGAAAUCCCUCAGCUCAACUGAGGAAUUGCGCUUGAUACUGCUGUACUGGAGGGAGACAGGGGUAAGCGGAACUGAUGGUGGAGCGGUGAAAUGCGUUGAUAUCAUCAGGAACACCGGUGGCGAAAGCGGCUUACUGGGUCUCUUCUGACGCUGAGGCACGAAAGCUAGGGGAGCGAACGGG